AUUGAACGCUGGCGGCAGGCUUAACACAUGCAAGUCGAGCGGGGGAAGGUAGCUUGCUACCGGACCUAGCGGCGGACGGGUGAGUAAUGCUUAGGAAUCUGCCUAUUAGUGGGGGACAACAUCUCGAAAGGGAUGCUAAUACCGCAUACGUCCUACGGGAGAAAGCAGGGGAUCUUCGGACCUUGCGCUAAUAGAUGAGCCUAAGUCGGAUUAGCUAGUUGGUGGGGUAAAGGCCUACCAAGGCGACGAUCUGUAGCGGGUCUGAGAGGAUGAUCCGCCACACUGGGACUGAGACACGGCCCAGACUCCUACGGGAGGUAGCAGGGGGGAAUAUUGGACAAUGGGGGGAACCCUGAUCCAGCCAUGCCGCGUGUGUGAAGAAGGCCUUAUGGUUGUAAAGCACUUUAAGCGAGGAGGAGGCUACUCUAGUUAAUACCUAGGGAUAGUGGACGUUACUCGCAGAAUGAGCACCGGCUAACUCUGUGCCAGCCGCCGCCGUAA
rnacentral:rRNA from 1 species